rnacentral:misc_RNA from 1 species
GAUGGAAGAACGUAGCGAAAUGCGAUAAGUAAUGUGAAUUGCAGAAUUCAGUGAAUCAUCGAAUCUUUGAACGCACAUUGCGCCCGCCAGUAUUCUGGCGAGCAUGCCUGUUCGAGCGUCAUUUCAACCAUCAAGCCCCAGGCUUGUGUUGGAGCCCUGCGGCUGCCGCAGCCUCCCAAAACCAGUGGCGGGCUCGCUAUCACACCGAGUGCAGUAGUUUACUCUUCGCUCAGGGCGUGUGGCGGGUGCUAGCCGUGAAACCCCCAACUUCUCAAGGUUGACCUCGGAUCAGGUAGGAAUACCCGCUGAACUUAAGCAUAUCAAUAAGCGGAGGA